GUGCCAGCCGCCGCGGUAAUACGGAGGGUGCAAGCGUUGUUCGGAAUCACUGGGCGUAAAGGGCGUGUAGGCGGUCUGGCAAGUCCGAUGUGAAAUCCCGAGGCUUACCCUCGGAAGUGCAUUGGAUACUGGCGGGCUAGAGUCCCGGAGAGGAGGGUGGAAUUCCUGGUGUAGCGGUGAAAUGCGUAGAUAUCAGGAGGAACACCGGUGGCGAAGGCGGCCCUCUGGACGGUGACUGACGCUGAGACGCGAAAGCGUGGGGAGCAAACAGGAUUAGAAACCCUAGUAGUCC
rnacentral:rRNA from 1 species